UUCCUUGGAGGAAAUCAUAUUCUUUGUUUCUGGAGAAGCAGGAACGUGUAAAGAAACAAAGUCAGCACGGUGAAGGAGUUCAGGGAGAGAAGAGAGCUGCUUGGCGGAACCCAAAGGCAUGAUAGGGAGAAUAUCGUAAUAAACGACGUGUAAACCCAUGGCUUCAGCGAGAACAGAAAGUUGGGAUCCAAUAUGACCAUAACCAAUGAUGCCCAAGGUCUUACCACGGAUCUCCCAGCAUCCACUGGACACCUUGUUCCACUCACCACGGUGCAAUUCCAAGGAGCGAUCGCCCACUUGACGAGCCAAGCUAAUGAUAUAGCCGAUGACCAAUUCAGCAACGGAACGAGAGUUGGCGUAUGGAGAGUUGAAGACGGCGAUACCACGUUCGGCAGCAAAGUCCAAAUCGACUUGGUUAGUACCGAUACAGAAGCAACCGAUGACAAUUAAACUGUCGGCAGCCUCCAAGACACGACGAGUCAAGCGGGUCUUAGAACGAAUGCCAAUAGCAUGAACGCCCUUGAUCUUCUCAACCAAAUCGUCCUCGCUCAUAGAAGUUUUCAAGAACUCAACCUGGUAGCCCUCAUCCUUCAAGUUGCUCAAAGCUG